GGCCCCCUCGAUCCCUCCAUUUUCUCAACCCCAAAGCAUUUUAGCAUCUUUUCUGUGAGCCUAUACAUUUUUUAAACCUCUUUUUGUGAAUUCAAGUGAUUUUUUUUUUUUUGUUUUUUUUUGUUUUUGACAAAGACUCCGCUUUCUCUUUGUGCAGUGAAAAUUGCUCUUUUUUUGUGCGCCUGCAAUCGACGCCCUUGUGGAUGACCCCAGGUGCCUAAUUCAGAAAUGCGUGCGGGGCUGUCACCGGCUGUACUGAGCCUUGGAGCACACCUGGCAGAUAACCCCGACGCCAACCUCUGGCCCUCCUCCUACCCUGAUCCAUCCCUCGGCUUCGUCCUUCCUCUGAGAACACACUGAACCUUCCACAGACUCACACAAAACUCUUGCUUCCAUGUUUCAAGCUCGUGGUAAUUUCUGUCCCUUCUGUGUGGACGAGGUGGCAGCACACAAAAAGAGGCGGAAUACGACUGGUAAGAAACAACAAACAAAUUUGCUGUGAAGUAAUUUGUCAAAACAAAUUUACCUCACAACAAUGACCGCAUUGUUUAAAUUGUGUUUCAAAUAUAAUUGUCGGCUAUGCUUUUGUUAUUCCUGAGGUAAAUUGCUCUCGGCGAGGUUUGUUAGGAAUGCUUUUGU